rnacentral:rRNA from 1 species
UACGGAGGGGGCUAGCGUUGUUCGGAAUUACUGGGCGUAAAGCGCACGUAGGCGGCUUUGUAAGUCAGAGGUGAAAGCCCGGGGCUCAACUCCGGAAUUGCCUUUGAGACUGCAUCGCUAGAAUUGUGGAGAGGUAAGUGGAAUUCCGAGUGUAGAGGUGAAAUUCGUAGAUAUUCGGAAGAACACCAGUGGCGAAGGCGACUUACUGGACACAUAUUGACGCUGAGGUGCGAAAGCGUGGGGAGCAAACAGG